UGGGGAUGUAGCUCAGUGAUAGAGCGCUUGCUCAGCAUGAAUGAGGCCCUUGGUUCAAUACCCAGCACUUAA
rnacentral:tRNA from 1 species